UUCCUCCAUUCCAAGGAAUAACGAAUCCCUAAUUUUUGCGGGAGAAUAACCACUUCAUUCUUGUUUUAUUCUUUUUUUAUUAAAAACCCUCAAAUACCUCUACUUUGUAUUACUUUCACAGCCCAUUGCCCCAAGCAACACCAACUGCCAUCAACCACGUUCCACACCCCCACCCACCCAUCGGAUCCGAUCCUCCCUCUGCUUGCCCGGCUGCCAGGCACAUCCCUCAUUGCUGUAGCUAACCGAUGAACUGCCGACGUUUGCCCCCUCCAACCAACCACUGCCGGCCACCAACCACCCCACCUAUGCUUUCAAUUGCCAGCACCUCCACCACGGCCACCCCACCCCCACCGACGGCCUGCCACGCCCCACCUCCACCCUGCCACCAACUACAACCUAACCGGCCGGCCGGCCUCCAACCGCCCGCCACACCUGUUUGCCAACCACUACCACCACCAACGCCAUCCGCUCACGCCAUGGUGGGUUUGGUGGCAAAGCGGAAUGGGUGAUGGUGGUGGGUUGGUGGCAGCAUUUUGGCGGUGGGGGAUGCGUGGCAAUGGCGUGUGGGUUUGUGAUUGUCGUGGUCUUGGUUUUCUGAUCGUAGUUGGCGGCGGUUGGUAGUGGUAGCAGUGUUUUUGGCAAGUGGGUUAGUGUUGGAAGGGUGUUGGUGAUGGUUGGCAGUAGUGAUGGUGUGGUAUGGUGGGGCUGGGAGGUGAAGGGAGGGGAUAGUGGUGGUUGGUAAAAAUUUUGUGGGCUGACGGCCAUGGAAUGGCCAUGGUUUUGUGGUAGACAAACGAACCCUGUUAAUUUUUUUGAUUGCUGUUAAAUGGGGAUUUAUUGCUAAAACUCAUUGAAUGGUUUUUUGAAGAGAUACAUAGUAAUGGAGGAUAUAUCUUGGUCAAUGUAAUAUAACAUCAUUCCAUUCCUUCCGUGGUCGGCACCUGUAUAAUUUAAUUUUAUCCUUAUUUCAGGUGUGCUUUUGUUGCAUUAUAAGAUGCUUUGCCGAAACAUAUAACUGUUCACUCCCGGAGAAUUCAUGGAGAGAAGUUUUGAUGUUGUUGGCUCAACAAUUAGCAGAUGGCUUAGCCCAUCUAAGACAGUAUAUUCUUGCUUUUUUCACUGGUAGAUAAGAGUGUUCGAUUGUUGCUUUCAACUUCUAUGGUUAUAUCGGAGAUGGUUUAUGUCCUGUAAGAUCCCAUGAAGUUUAAGGUGCUUAUGAUACGCUAUAGCUGCCUAAUUUUUGAUAAUAUGGUUGGUCGAUAAAAUUAAGAUUUCAAAUUGUACAAGCUCAUGAUUCGAAUCUUUGAUUGGUCUGCCCCUAGACUCCUGUGGUUUCUAAAACUUUGAACUAACGUAAUUUUUUAAAAAGUAAUGGCACGUGAUAAUGUAUAAGCCGCUUCUGACCUGAAUAGAUGGAAUUAGCCACUACUUUUGGUGACCAUUCCUUUGACUCUAUUUUAAAUAUAUUAAUGGUUGGUACGUUUUGAGCAAUUUUGGAUUAAAUUUACAAAGGAGAAGCUGCACAACAUUUUAACUGAAGUAUAGAUGUCAAAUAUUUAAUAACAUCUUUUAAUCCACCAUCUUGAACUUAAGCAUUGUGGUGUCCAUUCAGCAAUAUGUUCGAGCUUGGCGAAGAGAAGGUGAACGAGUGAGAUCAACUGGACCUGUCCACAGUUUGUUGGCAAUGUCAAGAUGUCCCUGGAUCUUAAUUGAAAGGUUCCCUCUUUAGUUUUUUAAUCUGGUUUCUAUUUUGGCAUUUAAAUGACUGUUUGAAACGCUAUGUUUUGCUAACUUAUGUCUUUUUUGGUCCAGCCUGGCCUCGGGACCGCGUAGGGAUAUUAGGAAGGAAAUUUACAUACGGGGUAUCGUUGGCUUGCUCAGGUUAAAGGACCUAUGGAGACAACUUGGCCAGAAGGGCCAUUCUUCAUUAAUUGGUAGGCGACAUAAAUUUUUUUGGGCUGUAUAAAUGUUGAAAUUUGGACUAUUUUCUUUCUUGAUAUCUUAUACACUGAAGCAGCUACGCUUGAACCACAUACAAGGUCCUCCUAAAAAAAAUAUUCUGAACAAUUUGGAGAUGCAUAAAAUUUGUUGACAUUUUCUACUUGUUGAUUCUCAUUUCUCACAAAAUCAUUAUUUAUUGCAGCAACCAUUGUUGGUAAAUUCGUUGAUAUUCAAAUUUGAUCAUCAUGGAAGAAUAUUAUGACCAGCUAUUCGGACCUAUCUUCUUGAGAGGUGUCAUGUGUGUCAAUAUUCAAACCCGAAAUGCAGCUAUCAUUUUUUUUACGCUAUUUGUGGCAGCAACAACAAGUGUGGGUUUUAUAAGCAAACUUUUUUUUUAAUAGAUUUUCAUUCUCAGUAGGAAAUGAGGAACCUAUGUUUGGGAAAUCCUAAAUAUUUUUCUCCUCUUAACGCGUCAAAUUCUUAUGAUUUCGUUGGCGUCAGGAGUGCCAGGACUUCUUGCCACUUGGAGAGCUAUACUUAUCAUAAGAAUAAGUCACAAAGAACAGGUGAAGCCUUUCGUUCCAUAAAUGUUUUUGUUUCAUUUUCUUUAGCUCUGUAGUGUAAACUUCCUGUCUCUCUCAGGAUGCAGUUUUCGGAUUUGUGGCUGCCGUUAUUCAUCUGGGUAACUUGAAUUUGGUAAGGGAAAAGAAAUUGAAAACGAAAAAUCGGAUAUUCAUCUUCAAAGAACGGCAGAACAUCAUCCUUCUGUUUUUCCUCAUAGGAUUAUAUCAUUGUGGAUGCCUGUAGCCAAUUCUCUGUAAGCCUUGAAAUGUUUUUACAGGUUCACGUUGCCUAAGUAUAUACUGAUUCAUAUUACUUCCCUGAGUUUAAGCCUAUGUUUGUUAACUGGUUUGAUCGUUUGUUUCUGUUUUUUGUUUUUUGUUUUUUGUUUUUGUUUCCUGCUUACUGACUGUAUUUAUUACAAAGACAUUUACAGGAAGGAAGUAUGCACUCUAUUGAUCUUUUGGCCAUCCCUUCCCACGGUUUGCAGACUCAUUAAAUUUAACUUUUAAGGAAGGUUCUAGUUUAUUGAUCUUUUGGUUUCUAUUCUUAGUGGGUUAUUAACUCUGUUUUGUACUAGUUGAAUUGAUUCACUGAGCCGUUUGUUAAGAGUUUGCUUUACAUUGUUACUUGGUUUAUUUUGUACUUAUAUUUCAUUUACAAAACAAAAAGAACUCUAUUCCCAUUCACUAAAGCUGCAGCUUUAAUAUCUUUGGUCAGGGCAUACAUUUACAUGGGUUUGUGUCCAAAUUGGCGAUGACAUAGUAGAGCUUGUAGACAAUUAAGAUUUCCCAAGUCCUGAUGUUGGUUAUGUGAAGGCACCAAAUUUCACUCUUAUGUAGUGUCAUGAGUUUUCUUGUGGAAAUAAUGGUUUUGUUUUUCAAUUGAAAUCAAAAAAAAAUUGAUUUUGUUGCCGAUCAAAAACAAUUUCUUAAAUGUUAAGUUUUCAAUUGGAUAUUGCUUUUAAACUUUAACUUAAAAUUUUGGAAUUUAGGUCAGUGUGUAACAACAAUCUGGGCGAGAAAUAUUGAGUCAACCCAUUAAGGUGGCAGUUUAUGCACCACCAAGACUACAUCAUAGUGACAUUUUUUGUUGUACCAGGUGCAUCCUAUGUGGUAUGUUCCAGAAUAUUUUCCCAGUUCUGUCACCCUUCACUUUGCAACUACAUCGUUAGACGAGCAGAAAUUGGUCUAAAAGAAUCUCCUGAAAUUGGAUCUGAACUAUAUAGCAUUCUUUACAAUGAAGCCAUUUCUUUUAAUUUUUACUUUUAUUUUAUUAACACAAAUUAAAAUACUGAUACUUGUUUUUCCUUAGUGACUGAUAUCAUAAUUAUUAAUUUUUUCCUUCACACAGCUUACUGUGAAAGGAGGCCCAACUAUUGGUUACUGUGUGGAAUAUACUUGUAUGGAUGAUUGCAUUGCAACAAUUCACAGAUCUUUAGGACGACUGUCAGCAGUUUCUCCUAGAAACACUGUAAGAUUUGACGUUGAGACUUUUUACUGGAUCAAUAUUUCAUUUAGAAUUUCUUCUAUGAGGUUUCUCGCAUAUGUAGCAUAAAAAACUGGUUGCAAAAAAUAUAACUCCUACACCUGCCUACUGGAAAACUGGCUUCAUCCAAAUUUAAUUUAUUUCAUUAGACAUCUUGGCAGUUUUGGAAUGAUUUUAAGUAUACUGUAAAUGAAUGCUUCUGCUGCAAAUACGUUCUGUUUUAGAAAAUUCUCCUGAUUCUAGUCGUUGCUAACCACUUGGCAGCACCAUCUAUAACUUAGGAGAAGAAUUAUCCUAAUUUGGAUUUCAAAAUUUGUAGUUUUUCAUUUUUUUUAAUUAGUUACUAUAAUGUCAUAGACUUAGUCCUUUAUGUUUAAUGUUCAACGUUAGUUUGCAACACUGUGUGGAAUGGAGAUCCAUUAUUUUGGUCCAGGCAUCGUGGCCAAGGUCAAGUUGGUAUCCCCUUCCUUCUUGUUUAUUGAAUGUACAGAAGCGACCACUAGCUGUAGUCAUGAAUGCCGCUGUUUUCCCUUCUUUAUCUGGACAAGAACUUACUAAGAAGAGAACAUCACGUAUUUCAACCCAUCUCCGAUCUCCUUGUAACAAGGUUGAGUAACCAUUGUUAUUUGCAGUGGCAUUUGUUUUUUCCUUUUAUAAGCUCUGAGGACUUACAAGUGGACUAUCAUGAUGAACAUGUUCAGGAUGCCUGGGCUGUUUUUUAUUUUAACUGCUUGUAUAUCCUCAACCUUUUUUGUGAACUGGAUACAUCUGGUUAUUUCCUAUUUCCCAUUGUUUUAGGUCUUUGUUUUCAAGUUGCAGACGCUUACAUGAUGACCAGUAUGGAGUCCAUUCCACCAGCCUAUUUGAAACGAGAAAAGAACUCGAUUUUAUUAAACUGUUUAUAUGGAGUAUGCUCAUUAUACUACCUAGUGUGUCAUUCAACUGGUUUCUAGCCCUUGGACCGUGGGUCCAUUUCCCAUAUACAUUCACCAUACAGUUGACUGUUGGAUGAUGGAUGCAUGUAUCCAUUUUGUAAACUACCCAUCACUUAAGAUCAAAUAGAGCGAAAGUUAGAGUCAUUAGUAGCUUGUGGUAACGACCGACCCUCCCCGGGCCGUUACUUAAUUACCUAAAAUUCUCCCGUUUUUUUUUCCCUCAAAUAACAAAUCAAAGCCUAUUUUCUUCAAAGAUUCAUAGUCUCCAAUGUUUAGUUUACAAUGUCCUCCAAAUUAUUAAUACAAAAAGAUCAAAAAUCUCAGUCUUUUCCUUCGACUCAAUCUCUUACAUCCGAACACCCACGUCCCUCCUGAAAACUUAUUUUAAACAGGGAAGUAGCAAUCACGGGAAUAUGCUCAACAAUCAUAAUGCUCAACAACAAAUGUCAAGUCUCACAACAAAAUCACUAGUUCAUCAAGACCUCAUACAGUCCCUUUCCUGAUACAUUACUAGUGAUCGGCCUCAUCCACUUCUCUAGCUCUCGGCUUUUUUCCCGGUCCAUAGUGGACUAUUGGCGGAUCCACUCGUCUGUAUCAUUCCUUCCCAUAGCAUUUAUCCAUCAAUACAUAACAUCAUACAUAUCACGAUGCCAACAAAAUACCAUGGAUUUCAACAGAUAGCACACAUUCUCAAGGAGGACUACAAAAUCAGAAUGUUAGAAAAAUACUCCCGGAUUUUUAGAAACAUAUUUUCUACCUCCUGCUUACCUCAAUUGAAAUUCACACCACUAAUAUGAAGAUCAUGCACCCAUGAUCAUCAUACUAAAACUUCCCUUGAUCCGACAUCAUCUCACCGUUGAUCCUACACCCUAUGUUCCUUUCAUUAUCAAAGAAUUAACCACACCAAAUAAUUUCUCCAGUCUCCUAUUUCUUUUCUUUCUCUCUUCUCCUCGCUGCGUGCGCUCCGCCCGCCUCUCUCUCUCUUUCUCAGAGAACUCUCUAUCUUCUCUCAUUAUUCUAUCUAUAUUAUGUAUUAACAUAUAUAAUAUAUAAAAAAAAUUAUUUAUUUAAUCUUUACUUUCUUCUCUUUUUUCUUUCCUUAAUUUUUUUUUUUUCCCUUUAUCUUUUCUUUACAACUUUCCCAGUCGAAAGUUGUCCUCCACCAAACUUAACAACUUAUAAUUUUGUCCCCCUCAACUUUUAAUUUCUUUUAAUUUAUCCCAAAGUUUAUAAUCUUUCAAUUAACACCCAAAACAUAAAGUUCGGGUUAUUACAUGUGGGGCAUGCCUUUACAGGCCCCCAAAGCCCCAAUUGCUCCGCAACAAGAACGUGGGAUUUUAUUUUUCUUAUUUUUUUUUUGGUAAGUAACAAUAUUGGUAGAAAGAUGCAUUAGUGGGUGUGACACGUAUACACAAUAGAGAAUAAACAAGAAGACGUAAUCAUUUAUACGUCAAAAUCCUAAGAAGUGUCCUACAAAGUCCAAAUGGUCCCAUGAUUAGUAUUGAUCUCAGUGAUAUUGUUUUCCUAUUGAAUUCCGUUUCUUUUCGUCACCAUGAGUAUUUGUACCUUUUUGAAUUACUUUUCCUUUAGACCUCCCCCCCUCCCCCCCAAAAAGAACAAAAACACAAAAAAACUAAAAAAAGAAAGAAAAAAAUACACAUUACCUUCUUUGAUAUUUUCCAUUUUAGUCCUCAUCUGAAUAAUUGGGUGAACUUGGAUAUUUAUGAAAAUGAAGUUAUUUGAAUUCCUUGAAUCUAAGCUAUUGUUAAAUUUCUGAUCCUCUCCGAAUGUGAAAGCAUAUUGAAGUCUAGAUUAACAUCUUUGUUGUUUUAAAUCUAAGAUUGUGAAAUAUUGGAUUGUUUUGUUUAUGUGAAUUUUUGUGGCAAUCGUUGGAUGCCCAUUUGCUGGUCUCUCAGUGAACCCAUAUGAACAUGUAAUGCAAACAUUCUUUGAAGCUGUGUUAAUGGUUGGUGAGGCUGUCUCCCGAAGUCAAUGAUAAUGCAAUUUUUUUCCCACUUGUCUGGCUUCAAGAGAGAAAAGAGGAAAGGGAUUCUCCAAAAUUUGAUUGAAUGUUAUACACUUGUACAAAUUUUGAUCAGGGUGUACUCUUCUAGGUUUAUUGGCACUUUUAGUUAGGAUUAGUUCAUGUUGUUUUUUAGAAUUUUGAAUGUUUCUAUGUCCAUUUCUUUUUUGUGAAAAUACUGCUUAUUCCUCAAGUUCUGUAAUACCAAAAUGCAUCCUAACCAAAACUGUGUAGUCAUAUAUGCUACCUUUCUUCCAUGUUUUCGUGUUAUCUAAUCUGAUGAUUGCUAUGAAGAUUCGCUACAGGACAGAAGUUUUGCCGUAACAUUCUCUUGUGGACUGUUUCUCUUCUGUUCACAUCUCACAGUCAAUGGGCUUCAUUGCGUAUACAUCUUUAGGGUGGGGUCUGAUCUCCCUUUUGUUCUUGGAGCAACAGUGACCUGGAUCCUUCCCUUCUCAUUACGCUUCCUCAAAACUUUUGCCUUCCUCUUUGAGUUCAUAACAAACCAUAUGAUUCUCAGAGGUCGCAAAGGAGUAUAACUUUUUUCUUUGCUGCGACAGUGUGGGAGAAAGCAUGAAGAACAUGGCAGAAAGAUGCUAUAUCGAUCGAUGGGGAUAGAAUAAAACCAACGGAAGUAUGUAUCUUGCAUGCAUUCAGGCAAAGGAUGGUCAACGGAAACCUGAGUUUCAUCUUGCAUUAGUGGCCUGAGUAACCUGAGGUUAAAUGUGUCACCUUUUUGUCAUGUAUUUCUAUGAUGUAGCACAUGGAUUUAACACCACUGUGUUUUCUUACUUUAAAACUUCAUGUUUUAUAAGUUCGACCUGUCCUUCAAACACCUUCAAAUAUUUGAACUUCAUUAGUAUUUAUUGUGGUGAAUCCGUUUUUUUAAUUAUUUUUUAUACUAUUGAUGGAGGGGUUUUCACAUUAAAUAAAAUAAUAGUCACUUUCAGUAGGAUCAUAUCGUAAGUUUUUCCCUAAAUCUUUUUUUUAUAGUAUUAAAUUUUAUUGAAAGAAAGGCAUUAAGGACAUGCCACUAUUACAAAAAUAGGGCAUCAAACAAAAAGCCCCUAUUACAUUCCACUGUGUUAUAGCUUUACGAAAUCAAAAUUGGUUGAGAGAAGGCUUACCUUAUCUUCAACCCCCAACUAUAUAAAAUGCUAUCAAUGAACUCUAAGUCGUAACAAGGACUCCUAUUCCAUUCAAUGUUGAAUGUUCAAUUCCUGCCAAAUGAGCACAUCAAACAAAGUGGAAUCAUGAAACCAUAAUCUUUCCUCCUGCUCUUCCCCACCUUAGCCCUCUCCAACGAUGGAGUAUCUUUGCAAUAUCUUGCUGGGUGAUAUCAAACCAUGUAACCAAGAUAGGAAUGAGGUCCACAACUCCCAAGUCAGUGGGCAUAAAAAGGUGGUCCACUGACUCACCAUCCUGCUUGAAGCAUGCACACCAAUUCACUAUUAAUUUCCACCUUCAGAAACUAUCAAGGGUGAGAAUUUUUAGUUAUGUGGCACACCUAUCCUGGAUGGAGCAUGCUUCCCCCAAAUAUCCUUCCAUGGAGGAGACCGACAUCGGUCCCCACUCAACACAUGAUAAAAUGACUUAACCCGGAAGGACCUCGAUGGUGUUCAUAUCCCUGCUUGAAGUGUUAUCUAAUCCAUUUGCCUGCUAAUAUUUAGAACCAUGCAUUACAUUUUUAUGCAUUGUGUAUACACUACUGAGAUCACUUCUUUAAAACCGAUUAGUUGUUUAUAUAACAUCAGCUGACUGACAGUGGAUGAUCCAGAGAAUAAUACUUUUUAUUUUGAACUUGUAUUGCAGGGCUGAAUCUAAUUAUUGUUAGCAUUUACGUGUAAUGUCUGGAUUGAGCCUUGUUCUCUAUCGUUUUUUUACUUUACGAUGUUUGCAUCUAGUUGACAUUUUUUUAGUGCUUUGAAACUUACGCACCACCUGGUUGUUUUUAUUUUGUGAUCAGGUGUCUCAAAUAAGAAACCAAGGAUUUUCUGGAAUUGAUUCUUGCUGUUUGUGCGAACUUGAUCUUUCAAGCAAGAUAUUAAUAAUAUCCCUUAGUAAAUUUACCUCCAGUACACUAUUUAUGAAUUUUUUCCCUUAUCAGGCUGAGGACCCAGAUGGCAUGUAUAGUCCAUCUGUCUAUUUGAUUUCAAACAAAUCAUUUUCCAUGAGGCUUAUAAUGUUAUCAAUGCUUCUCCCUUGAUAGCGGAGCCUAACUAUCCUGAUAUUGUCUUGAUUAAUGUAACAAUUAAUAGCAAUGGAAUACCUUGUUAAGGUUUGUAUAAUUCCUUAAAUUAUAUAGAUUUCACUCAAUUUACCCCACCACGGGAAUUUUUCAAAUCUUAAUUGGUUUCCUUGUAGUUGUGUUGAUGGUUUUUACUGUGGUUAUAGUAUUUUUCGCAUCUAUGUACAACAUGUGUAACGCCUUAAUAAUAAGCCAUGCUUUGUUUCUAACUGUUUCUUUUGCCUGCUGGUAAUAUGACUCUCACUUCUACACUCUUAUUCCUUAUUGAAGCCAAUGUGGCACAGUAGAGCUCUUGUUUGCGUCAUUUACUGAUAAUCUGCAGAAAUCAGAUUAUAUGAUGGUAAUGGCUGACCACUCGUCAAAUCCUGGCAAUAUGUGCGGUGAAAAGCAAAUAACCCUUUAUUUUGUACAGGACUAUUUCAUUUAUCUGCUACAAUGUUAUUUAGUGACCCAUGUUCGGACUCUUGAUCCUCGGGUAAGGGCACAAGAUGUGUGCAGUUGGAUAUAUAGACCUAGCAAGCAUCUUAGUUUUUCCAAUUUACCAUGCUCUCUACACCUUGUAAACAACAUUUUACCAUAGAAAAUAUAUUAGGAAGUAUAAAUAUUUUGAUGUAUCCCAAUGUCCUUGGAUAUGGGAAUUAGAUGAAUCUAACACUUGGAGACACACCCGAGCGCAUGUAAUAUAGCACGUGAUAUUAGAAAGUCAAAGUUGUAUAGGAAACUGCAGACAAGGCUGCUUUAACAGCUUCUCUGUCCUUAAAAUAGUUUUUAUCUCGAGAAUUGAUGUCAUUCUAUAAUUUAUUCAGAACACUAGUCCACUCAUUUUCUUCUUCAAAAACCAUGUUUCAGUUUUUUUUUGUAGUGUUCCUCUUUCAACCAUUCCGCACGCAACAUAUUCACAACAUGCACCCAACUCAUUUUACUUUUAUCAUUGUUUGCAGACGCCUGCAUAGUUGUGCACGUCACAGCCAGGACCUAAAUGUCUAAACAGGAUAUUGGUUGAUGAUGGGGUGACAUACAGUGAAUAUGGUCAAGAGAGGCUUCCCUUUAUGCUAGAUGACCCAAGAAGUAAGCAAUGGAGGUUGGGAAAUUUAUAGGUGAAUGCUGAAGCCUGAUCCAUUGGCUGAUGUAGUAAUUUAGAAGCUUCCAGGACGUUUAUCUUUGAAUUCCCCUAUCCUCUGUUUUUGAGAACCUUAAGUCGUGUUUUUGGCUACAUGUGGGCUUGGCCAUAAGUGACUUAGUAUCUUGUCUGUUUCAAACGAGUCCUGUGGGGUUCAAAUAACUGUAUGAUUUUUGUUGUUGUCGAAACGAUUUUUUUUUUUUUUGGCAUUCUGCUUUCAAACAAGCCCUUUAUUUUGUUUUUGUAUUUUUUAUGUAGUUCUCUUUGCACUUCAAAUAACUGGAAAUUGCCAAUUUUCUUCAGAUUUCAGCCGGUUGCUCGUUUGUAACCUAAGAAUCCCGUCCCUGCACCCUAGAAGUUGGGCUCAACUUCAGUGUGGAAGGUUAGUGUCUGAUUACAAUUUUGACUUUAAUUUUCAGUUAGUCACGGUUAAGAUAUGUAUUUCGUAUUUUGUGUAUUUGUUUAAUAUAUGAGGUUAGUUUAGUCAUUUUCUUUACUUUUAUUAGGAUGGAGACGAGGCAAGGUCAUGAUGGAGUGGUGUUGGAUGUGCAAGUGUGCUUAGGGAGUCAACCACUUGUUGUUACACUGUCCAGUGACUUCGCAGUUGUGGGAGUUGGUAUUAUCUGUAGAUUAUGGGCUUUGGUAUAAAUAUACGCUUUUGUCCUUAUAUACUUCGUGUGUACAUGGUUUUCCCCUUUGGCGUUUUUAAUGAAAUUAAACUAUUCCUCCUCAAAAAAUUAUGCGCCCUAUAUAUUGACUUGUAACUUAUGUAGGAGAUUUGAAUUGCUCCUGUUGCCAAAGCUUGUAGAGCUUUUCUGUGUCAAUGCUCCGUAAUUAAUUCAUUUGAUAAAUCUUUUUUCUCAUUGUCUUGCUUAAUCUUCUUUAUGUGUUCUCUAUGUGGAUGUAUAUGAGAAAUCUUCUUGUUAUGUGUCGUUGCACUUGAAUUUUGGAAUUCCUUGAUAUUUUGAUUCAGUCGAUUGGUACAGCUGAAUUUACUUUAAUUCUAAUCUAGAAGUGUAUGCUUCGUGUUAGUGUUCUUUUUACAAAAGUACAACACGGCGUGGUACUUUUCAUACCUAUUUUGAUGAUCUAUUGAGAAUCUUGAGAUCUAGAAAUUUGCAUAUUGUUAUGGUGUUUUUGUCAGGGUGGAAAAUUAAUAAUUUGUGAAAAAUUUGAGGGAUCUCAAGGAUGUUGAAUAACUUUCUUGAGAUGUGUCCACGAGUAUUUUUGCGUAAAUCUGACUUAUAAGUCAUGAAUAAUAUGCCAUGUAUGGGUGCAAAACGUCCGACACAAGAACUGAAAAUGCAUCUGCAUGGUUGGCUGGGAUGUUCAUCACUCAGAGUUCAGAAGCCAUACUGGAUGGUGCACUUCCAUACUGGAUGGUGCAUGACUCCAUAUGGGCUUCCAGUCUUUUUCUUUUUGCAGUAUCAAUAGGCCUUAAAUUAAUUGAGUUAUUGUGUUCUAGUGUUUAAGAAGCCAUGUAAAUUGCUACAGGCAGUUAGAAAUCUAAAAUCUUUAUCGACUCUCAGUUUUUUUUGUUUCUGGUGACAAUGGUUGGGCAGCCAGUUAAUUGUUAAAUGAUCCAAUGCUUGGCCAGUGGGUGAGUGGUAAAUGAAAGUGGUUUAUAUCUGUGGACAUGUUUAUUGAAAAGCUGCAGUCCCUGGAGAAGGUACUCCUCAAGGUAUUGAGGCAUAGAACUUUUUUCCCCGUUCAAUUUUAAUACGAGGAACUUAAAUGGAUUUCUGUUUGCCGUACUUUCGGAAGAUUUGACUGAUCUGGAGCUAAUGGUGCCCAAUUACCUUUCCGAAACUCGUUUCUUGAACAGUGAUCUAUGAAGAUUCAAGUUUGAAACUGCAAACUGCAGUUACAGUGUUGAAAGGGUAUAUUGUGUUUCUUGUGCUGCCAGAUAGAUGCUAACAAAUGUUUCUUUGGCAAAAGGAUAUAACUUCUCUGUAAAGGUUAGGUAUGUAAAUUUGCCUUUUUUUUUCUUUAUAACACCUAGAGCGUUGUACACCUUUAUAUUCAUUGCUUGAAGAUUACAUAUACUGUGAAAGAUUAUUUCCUUGGAUGUCAUUUAGGUCAUACAGUGUAUAAAACUUAGGUCAUACACUUUAUAUUCAUUGCUUGAAGAUUUCUAUGUUUUGUGUGAGGGUAUAGGAAUGAUGGAAUGGAAGAUAAGUAUAGUGUCUUGAUAAGGUUUGGUGAUCAGAGCUCAACUGAUACUUUCUACAAGCAUUUCAAUGGGAGACGUUUCUCUUCUCUUGAGGUUUGUUUUGCUCGCAGUGGUCGUUUUUAUUUUCCACUAAUCAUAAAAAUUAUGUCCAAAUAUUUUUCUUCUUUAUUUUCUGUGUAUAUGUUUCCUUUUCUUUUGAAUGCAGGUAGAGGCUUGUCAUGUCCUUUUCACGGUUGAUGUUUAGUACACUGGUUCAAUUGAACAUGCACGGAACUUCCCCUGCAAGUUUUUUCAACAGAGCAUCCCACAUGUCCAGUCUGUCUUGGUCUGCUUCUUUCUCAACCCACAUAAAUAUUAUUUGUUUGUAAGGCUAUUCUGUAAAUGCAUACUUUCGCGAACUUCUAGCUUGAUCAGGAUCUGCAAACUUAGGGGCAGUUCGGAUAAAAUCACAUCUAUACUUGUUUUUUUCAACUAAGUUAUAUGUAAAGAAUGAGGUUGGGAAAAUUUGGUAAGGUUUUCAAUGAAAUCCACAAUAUAGGAAACAAGGAAUAAGAGCAACCAAACCUGCUGGAAAUUUCUUGUGUUAUUUGGGUUUUGUUUGGUUUGUGGAAGAUAAUAAGUUCCACUUAUGUUUUGGGCACGUGAACUAUUCUUCCCCAUAGAAAAGAUGAGAAUUGUUUUAUCAUCCUUCAGGUCUAAGAAGGACACGCUAUAACACAUUGGAAGAAACACACACUGUUUUUGUCCUCUUGAAUUGGUACACAACGGUGUGGGAUUAUAGUGGAGACAACGAUGUCCAACCGUUUGAUUCCCAAUCUAAAAAGUGAUGGGUAUAGUUGGUUGAGCUAAAUCACCCAUUGUGCGCAUGUUUGAGGAAGGUUGCGGAAGUUGCAAAUGUAGUGUAAGAUCUUGGAUUUAGGUGAUACCAAAAUAGUAAGUACUUCUUCAUACAUAGCUAGUGGUUUCAGGAUUCAAAUUUUUUACAUGAGCUUGACUUCACUUCAUGGCACCAACUUCAAGACAUCAGAUGUCCCUUCUCUUGCUAUUGUUGGUUCUUGAUAGCUGAAGAUGGUUUCAGUAUUUAGGGAGAAAUCACUUUUGUUUCCCUCUGUAUUGAAUUUGAGUUUCCUACUUUGCCUCUAGUAACUGAAUCUAUACCUACGAGAAGUUUUGAAAAAGAAAUGGUGAGGGAAACUCGAGCUUUUGAAAAAGCGGAUCAGUGGCGUCAGAGACCCUUUUUGGUUUUUUCUCCCUCCUCUUUUGCCCCCUCAUCACCAUCCAACAUUGACAGCACUUCCAUACCUAAACCCACCAUUCACCAACAACAGACCAAAUUUCUCUGCCUCUUUGUGAAAAAGAAGAGCUGUUUCGAGCUCUGAUUUGUGUGAACUUGGAUGUGCCUACGUUCCUCAGCGUGGUCACUGCCCACUGCUUUUUCCGUUACCCACUCUUCUUCUUUAGAAUGUGAGGAGGAAUCUGUAUUUUGUCAGAAGCCUCCAUGGAUGUCAUGUAAUUUACUCUAGAGAGAAAUGUUUUUAGCAUGUAUGUUAUGAACUCAUCACAAUUACUGAGUAUAUACCAUAACACACACAUGACACGCACGAUGCGUCUGACCAUAUCCUUAAAUUAGUUUAUGGGGGGGUUUUUUAUCGUACAUAUUUAAACAACUUUUUAUACAAAUGUAUCUGCAUUAGUUUAUACUUGUCUCUUGUAUCGUAAUUCCACGUUUAUAGGUGGAAUUCUUUUUUUUGAUUGCAAGUAGCCAAUUGGCUAUUUUGUUUUUCAUUGUUGAUAAGAAAGUAUUUUUAACUCUUACGCUUUUGCAUGCAGCUCAAUGAAACUUUGAAAACCAAGAGAUAUGAAAGCAAAGAUGGUGGAAAUUGAAGCAGGUAUGACACGACAUCUAGUUACAUCUUACUCGUUUCACACCAACUUACAAAGAGGUUGGUUACACUACCUUCAAAAGUCGCAGACCCAUUGUCACAUCGUCAUUACCCAUCACUUUUUUUUUCGAGCCCCGCUGUACAAUAAUUCUGGUGCUGAUCAAGGAACUCUAAAUGUCGUUCAUGCUUGCACAAUCCCUUCCGACUUACCUUUUUUGCCCCUAUUAUGAAUCAAUUCAAACUAAACACGAACAAGAGUGGUUUAAAUUUUUGUUGCCAAACAUCUGGUUCUAAUUUGAGGUCCUUCUAUGGUAAAGAAGCGUUGUGGAAGCUUAUGAACUUCUCAUAUGUGAUUAGUGUACAUGUCAACCCCUUUUAUUUUUGUAAGUGACUUCUUACGUUGUGUUUUUAGAUUAAAGAUUUGGUGAGAAAAAUGAAAAUAGAAAGGGUAGGAUGAUUCAAUGGUCCGACGGUUGGAAUCGUCUAGCUUUUUUAUUUGUAUUUUCUUUUUUUUUCCCUCAUCAAAUUUGGGGCAUCCAAACACAAUCUAAAUAACUAUAUCAUUUUUUUUUUUGUGUGUGUGUGCAUAUUAGAACCAUCUAAUCUUCAAACUUGUUUCAAAUGAGAAUGUUAAAAUCAGAGUUCAAUUUAGUUUUCAAAUGAGAAUGCCAACCCACUGUCACCGUCGUCAGCUUGUUCCCCUCCUCCCUCUGUUGACCGCCAUCCUCCCUUAGUCUCUCUCCAAACUAGAACGAAAGAGAGAAACGGGGGACGACGAUGCUUUCAACGUUCGAUCGUAUGAGUCCGAACAUAUCCAACGCGUUUGGCAGUGUUGUGGUGAUGGAUGACAAGUGGUUCGAGUGAUGCUAGGGCGAGCCUUCCAAGGUGGGUUUUUGUUGGGUUCCAAAAAAUCCAUGGGCGUCCCUCGUGGGUGGCAAUCACAUCUGAGCAUUCGACAGAAAAUGAAUUUCCAGGCUAGGAGAGGUGGGAUUGCUACGAUGGUGGUGGUAGACUCCUGUUUUUUGUUGGUGAAUGUGGGGCGUGGGCAGAAGUCCCAAGUGUUUAUUCCAAACGAGUAGUGAUAGGUACCCACCCAAGACAUACCUAUUUUGUCGUCUCACAAAAUAAGUGGGAUUUGCCCUAAUUAGAGUUUUUAAAAAAACGUAAAAAUUCUAAUUAGGGCGAGUUCUACUUAUUUGUGAGAUGAUAAAAUGGGUGUGUCUUGUACACACCCACUUUUGAGUGUGAACCAAUCAUUAUUCAUUCCAAAAAGGUGAGUUGGGUCGGGGUGUCCUGCUUUUUGGUGAGUUGGGUUUGGGUGUCUGAGAGCGUUGAUUAAGGAUGAGAAAUGUCCGUUAUGCCCCCCACAUUUGGGGACAUACAAGAUUCUCCAACUCAUCUAAUGCACUUCCAUUCGCACAUGUAAAGUUCCGUCGUUAAUUAGACUAAUAGACUUCAAUUGGAUUGUUUGAGGACGAUAUUGAUGUAAUUCAUAGUUGAUGGAUGAAAUAGAAAAAAAUUGAAUAAUUUAUGGAAUAAAAUAAGAUUUAACCUUUUGAAAAAUUAAGUCAAUAAAAAUCUUUCCAAUCAAUAACACUGCAAAAUUGAUUACUAUUUAUAAUAAAAAUACCAAAACGUAGAAUUCUCCAAAUUUUACAUAUUUAAAAAUUUUAAAUUUUAAUAUCAAGAAUUACGUGCCAAAGAAAAAAAAAGAAUUAUGUGCCAAAGAAAACUUUAUAUUGUAUUUGGUUGAAGAAUUUUAAGAACAAUUUUGUGGAGAAAAAGAAAAAAAUUAAAUUUAAAUUAUCAAAUUUAUUAAACUUUUUUUUUUACUUUUUAUUUGCCCUCCCUAAACCGUACCUCAUGCCUUUUUGUCCAUUUUUCUCCUCUCUUUUGAAGAUUAAUUUGUUUUCGGAUUCAAUUAACAACUCAAUAUCAACCGUAAAAAUGAUGCAUCCAGGACUCAAAAUUUACUUGGCACAUAAACCACUCAAUGCCUAAAUUGGAGUCCUAUCACAGGACACCCAAAUUUCUUUAUUUUCUUUCUUUUUCAAAAUACAAUAAAAUAAAUGUUCCGUUGACAGAUAUUAUAAUAUCCGACCCCACCACUUGUGAUGUCGUUCUUAAACGUCCAACUUAUGACUAAAUAAAAAGCCCAUAAGCUUCCUCUUGAAUUUUCGGAUUUCAAUCCCAGUUUUCCCUUCUUCUCAGUCUACACAAGGUACAAUUUCCUUGCCUUUUUUUCUUCAGUAUCUUCACCUACGCACAUAUUCAUUCUUCAGAAUUUUGAAGUUAGAUGCGUGGGUUUUAUCCUAUUACCCUGAUCUCCUCUCUUCUCUCUCCCUCUCAAUCCGCUUCAUGAUCUGUGGACUGUUCGCUUUGGAUUUAGCAAUUCUCCUAGGGUUAUUGUCAUAUGGGUUUGUGUUGAAUCGUCCUCUAUUCUUCUUUCUGAUUGUUUAUGACCAAUAAUUCUGUUCUUGGCUUAAUUGGGAAUUGGGUCUUCUGUUUCUUUGAGGUAUUGUGUGCUUUCUAGGACCCCUUGUUUGUUUUUUCUGAUUUCUUGUGUAAUUUUUGUUUUCUCAUGAGAUUUGUUGGUGGGGUCCUUUUUUUGGGAACUUUGAAGGGGUAAAAGUGAAAUAAUUACCUGCACGCUUGACAUUGUUGGGGAUGGGAACUUUUUUCCCCUUUAUGUAUGUAUUUUCAUUUUAGGAAUAUGAUGCUACUCUUUUUCACUGACAUUAGGUAUUUAUUUUGGAAAACCACGGGGUUUCAGCACAAACGAGAAUGGUGAGGAGAUUGGUUUCAACACUGAGGUCUAUGCUACCUAUGACAGGUAAUUCUCUGAUCCUCUUACCAGUGAACUUUCAUGUCACUGUCAGAAGUUUACUUUCAUUUCUUCUUCACUUGCCUCUCCCCAGAUAUUGAGCUCUGCAACAAGAUUGUUGGAAAACCGUAUAGUACACCUCUAUUUUUAUUUUCUUGCUAUGUUUUUCAAUGUUCUAAGUUUUUUCUUUGCUAACCAAUGCUAUAUGAGCUCUAGUUUGGAGUUUGAUUUGAUGUGCUGUUUUUAGGUGUGAAGUGGAACACGAAAUCUGUUGUUUUGGUACUGAAAAUUUCCUUUUCAGUUUCCAAGGGAAUUCAUUACUUUUUUUUCCCUACAUUAUUGUAUAGUUGCAUAUGGACGAAGCAAAGACCCAGGGAGUCUUGAAAUAAGAUUUUUAUGCCCACCGACGCAGAGAAGAUUAUUUUCCCCCACAUAUUAUCGGAUUAGCAGGUCCUUUGGACCGGAUAUUGAGGCUCCGUUUUGCACCAUCUUUUUCAGCUUGUUUUAUUGCUUUUUGGCUUUUCUGUUUUUGGCUUUUUUUUGGCUUGUUUUUAGUUAAAGUAAGUCACAACAGCAAAAAAGUCAAAAAUUCUUAGCCUUUUUGGUAGCAAACUUUAAAACUUGGCUUGUAAGCAUUACCAAACGGAAAAAGCCGAUUAUCAAAAACAAAAUUAUUAUGGCCCCUCGACCAGAAAGAUGAUUUGCAUUGUGCCCACCUAUUUUUUUGUUAUUACCCCCCCAAAGAAAAUAGAAUGAGCAUGAGGUAAUAAUCCAUAUUAAAUACCGAACUUGUCCUAUGCUUUCAUUUUUAAUAGAUGCCAGCUAGGAUCAUACAUACUGAAAUGCAAUCUCCAUGGGUAUCUGGUAACCAUGUAUGUAACGGUAUAAUCAUUAAUUUGACAGCAAAAGCAAUAAAAAAAUCCAAUAUAUAAUAUUAUUUACAAUGCCACUGCCCACUGGAUACGAUUGAUUGGCUAAUGUUUCAAAAUUUAAUGUUGGUCCAUUAAAACUAUAUAAACCGACACCCAGACCAUUAAGAGAAAAACUGAACCUCCUGCUGUGUACAAAAUAAAUUUUGUACCGGAGUACAUACCACCCCCAUAUGGAUAGAAGUAAAUAAAUGGGAAUUAAUUCUAACUCCCACAUGAUGAAAAACAGUAAAAGUUCUCAAGAAGAAAAUGAUCAUAUUUGACCGCUGUGCAUUGCUAACAUCAGGAAAUGGAAUAAUCAAAACCUCAGAUUCGAGUACUGCUUUGUAUUUUUAUUUUUUUUAAAGUGGAUUAGAUUGGCACAACAUAAACUAAAGAAUCCUCAUCUGAAUGAGAAUUUAUGUUUCCUUAGCAGCCCCUGAAGAAGCCUUUUUGCCUUUGUUAUUCUAUGUUUUUGGUAUACUAAUUUUCUCCAUAAUUUUGUUUGUUCUGACAACCUUUUUUUAAUAGAUUGAUCGAAUUGCUCGCAUUGCAUUUAAGACUGCUCGGAAGCGGCGUGGGAAACUCUGUUCUGUUGAUAAAGCAAAUGUCUUGGAGGGUAGCUUCGCGGUGUAAUUUUGUUUUUUUUUGUCAUUAAGAAACAGUUAUGCUUUUAAUGUUUAUGUAUCUUAAUGGUAUCGUCCUUAUCAGUUUAAGUAUUAUUUGGGAAAUUUACAUUGGGAACACUAUCCUACCAUCCCAAAAAUAAAAUUAUAUGUAAGGAUUUGCUGUCUGCUAACUUUUUUUUUUAAAUACGCGUAAGGUGAUAUCAUGAUGCUGCACACUUUUCUGUUGGUUGUCUUCCCAUGUUGAGAUCUUGUUUUCGCUAUGUCCUUACCUUGGAUAUAAGGGACGCAUAUUUUUUGUGCCAUUACUUUUUUCUUAACUGAUGCUGUCUAAUGGAGUUUGGUACUUAUGAAUUUUAAUGAAAGAUUUAGAUAUUGUAAAUUGUGGCAGUUUGGCCAUAGGGGUGUCUCUCCCAUAGAGGGUUUGUGUUUGAGAAAACACUUUCCCUGGUUUCGUCCUCUAUUUUAGUUUUCUCCUCUGGUUUGGAUUCUGCCUUGCGCUGUUCCUGUUAAAAGAAAUCUUUCCUCUUUGGUAUCUUCUUUUCUUAUAAAGUACAACUGUGUUUCCAUGUACUAAGCCCACACAAAAUUAAUACGCUUAAAUUAUGUUGAAGUCAACAGCUAAUUUUUGAAUCUUGUUUGUGAGAAUACAUCGUGCAACAUUUGGAAAUGACACCUUUAUUUUUAGCAUGUCUAUAAGCUUUGUGUCGUAAGGUCAAGUUAUAUGUCCCUAUCACCACACUACAACAUAAAGGGCAACGUAUGGGGAAGUGUCCUAACUAAAGGCAAUCAUUCUCUUUUCCCACGCCGGACGAUCAUAUUCUCAGUUCUUUUCCAAAUAAAUCCUUUCAUUGAGACACCAACAAGGGGCAAGAAGCUUAGCUGCCUCGGUUAUAUUGGAGUCCCCCUGCAACAAGUUUGUGGGCGUAUAAAAUGAAUCAACAUAGGCAGUACAGCGAAAUUGUAUUAGAGUCCUUUUCUUUUCUGGAACUUACAUACGUGGUAUUCUUGAGGCUAAGGUUUAACUACGAAUGCCAUUGAUUGAUGAAGUUUCUAUUAUUCUGUUGAUUGUCCAUGAGGCUAAGUUUUUAAAGUUAACUACAUUGGCUUGUUUGAUGAGUUGCCAUUAUUCUGUGAUUGUCCAGGCAUCAUGCUUUGGAGGAAAAUAGUAACGGCGAUAGCCUCAGAAUAGGCCUUACGUUGAACCACCACAUGUAUGUUGAUGAGAACUUGUGGGUCCUAUGAUCCACUCUGUAAAUGCAAAAUGUUU
rnacentral:lncRNA from 1 species